ensembl:snoRNA SNORA70 Small nucleolar RNA SNORA70
UUGCAGCUUAUUAAGCCGACUAGUCUCGCUGCAGUGCGGUGCUGGUGUGCAAAGGCUGCAGACAAUAAAUCUUUGGUUGUGUAUGUCCUCAGCUGCGAGGUGUUGAGUGCUUUAAGGGACCACCGAGACAAAC